UACAUUUAGUCUUAUUUUAUUUGUCCCUAUUUCAUGUAACUCGCUCAGGUACAGUACAAAGAAAAACGUUUUACUUGAUACGAUUCCUGAAGAAAGGCCAACAUUUAGCAAAAAAAAAAAUGUUUAACGCAUAAAAGUUAAAAAAAUAUUAGUAAUCAAACGUAAAAUAAGUUCAAAUGUAAGCCAAGGAGACACCUAGAUCAUCCGAAUCGUACUUGAACAACUGGAACUAAAAGGGGAAAUUAUUUCACCUGCAUCAAAUAUAAUAAAAACAUAACAGACCACUCCUUGUUUUCUUUCUGGCAAAAUGAGUUCUUCAAAUGGUUGUAUCGAUGAUUUCGUGAUGAAACCUUUUGUUGAUGUAGCAAGAAAUUUGGAGGAAUCUUUCUACUAAGAAUAUUAAGUUAAAAUCAACGGGAGCAAAAAAUCUUAAAGCUAAAUGGCUUGAAGCCCUUUAAUAAAUAUCUGGUACAUCUAAGGCUCAAAUCCUAAAAAUUCCCCCUGGGUGAUCACUUCAUGUGUAAAAUUGCGACUAAACACUUUAAAAUAUUAAUGAUCUAGAAAUGGUAUACAACUGUUAA